rnacentral:rRNA from 1 species
GACGAACGCUGGCGGCGUGCUUAACACAUGCAAGUCGAGCGGUAAGGCCCCUUUGGGGGUACACGAGCGGCGAACGGGUGAGUAACACGUGGGUGACCUGCCCUCAGCUCUGGGAUAAGCCUGGGAAACUGGGUCUAAUACCGGAUAUGACUCCAUGACGCAUGUUGUGGGGUGGAAAGCCUUGUGCGGCUGGGGAUGGGCCCGCGGCCUAUCAGCUUGUUGGUGGGGGAUGGCCUACCAAGGCGACGACGGGUAGCCGGCCUGAGAGGGCGACCGGCCACACUGGGACUGGGACACGGCCCAGACUCCUACGGGAGGCAGCAGUGGGGAAUCUUGCGCAAUGGCCGAAAGGCUGACGCAGCGACGCCGCGUGCGGGAGGACGCUUUUCGGAGUGUAAACCGCUGGUCGGGUGGGACGAAGGUCCCCGGGGAGGAAAUGCCCCUGGGGAUGACGGGUACCACCAAAGGAAGCACCGGCUAACUCCGU